CACUUCUGUGUUUAAUAAGUCACAUCUUCAGUUGCUCCUGGGGUGGAAUGUGAGACCUUGACUCUUGUAGUGAUGUCAGUGGGUACAUGUGCACGAGGAGCUCCAUAGUUUCACCCACAGUACACCUGCUACAAAGUCCCUGUAGGCAAUGGCUGCCAGGUGGCUAUGUGACAUCUAACAAAGACAGUGGACACCUGAGGUAGCUAGUAGCCCAGCAGAGACAGGAGUACAACCAUUAGAGGAGGCAGAUCCAAGACCACAAUGCUCUUAGGAACCAUAGUGCUCUCAGGAUGUGGUGUUUUCAUGGGGACAUUGGCCACCCACCCCCUUGGGGGAGGGUCCACAACUAUCUGGCUUGCAGCUCACUCUUACUGAUAGUCCUAGGGGCUAAAAUGAUGCUGGUGGACUCUCAGGGCGAGGCCCUUCUCAAGAUGGGAAGUAAUAAGGCAGCAGGGCACAAUGAAGUCACUGCACUAACUGCUUAGUACCUCCCUAGGCGGGGGCGAGUACAGACCAAAGAAGCCUGUGGGUACUGAAACAGUGGAGAAGCUAGCCAAUGCCAGGGGCUCUUAGUGAGAUGUCUCAGGGACUCAACUUGUCCUCAAAAAGAACAGAAAUAAGUCCGUUGGGAAGUGAUAACUUCCUCGCCUGCCUCAGACCUGGACAAUUCUAGAUGGGCCAGGGAGGGACAGGUUUGGUGCCCUCAUCCAGGCCAGGAUUAGCUGGCUUUCUGCCUACAAAGCGAGGUCAAGGAAAUCAGGGCCCAUGGGAGAAUGGACUUUCCUUCUAAAUCUCAGAACUGGCUAACCUCAAGAUUUCUCUUACAAAGACAAACUACUCUUAAGAUCACAUCCCCAAGGGGAUGAGUAAGUCAGGAAAAAGCCAAGGUGAGAAAAGGGACUACUGACCUCCUCAACCAAAAUGUUUCUCAGCUAUGACCUUGACAAGAAGGCUUUCCGUUUGUUGGAGACAAACUUCACCUGCCCAGUACCUGACGCUGUUGGAGGCAAGGCUGAGGGCAGUGGAGGCUCACCCUGGGAGCAUCAUGGUACUCCAGUCCCCCAACCCCAAGCCCUCUGCAGUUGCCUAAGGGGUCUGGAUAGCAGCAAGGUACAGCACAGGAGCCAGCAGACCCAGCGAUAUCUCUGGAGACCCUUCUCCUGCUGCCUUCCUUUAUUCUCUGUGAGUUUUGAGAGCUUCAUUUGCUGCCAUUUCCCUGAAAGGACAGCCGGGCCAAGGAGGUUCGUAGGGAGCCUCACCUGGACGGUGAUACAACCCGGUCACUGUGUUCCCGUAGAACCCCCACGCCAGCUGGAUGCCCAGGAGACUUAACACCAACCAAAGCAGGAGAAGCUUGAAGAGAGUCACUCGCAUAUCUUGUGUCUCCCACUCCCGCAGAAACUCGCUGCCCAGGGUGCCCAGCGCUCCGAGCACCGUGGCGGGCAAAGCUUGCAGAAACUGCCCAGCCCAAGGCUCCGCCAUGACUGGCCAGCGCCCCACCGGGUGUACUGUCACUGUAGUCUCCACUGC
rnacentral:lncRNA from 1 species